GCUGUUUAGUAACACCUUAACUCUGACUUGACAGUUCUGAUUUACAAUGGACGUGUUUUUGUAUCUCCUCGAAUACUUCAUACAAGUUUAAACACUAUCAGCACUUUGUUAAUUCUCUAACUUCAACAAACUCUACCCUCUUCCUGUCCAUAUGUAACUUUACCUGUAUGACCAAUGGGAAUGAGUCGCACAUCUGCAUGGCUUUUCAUUUCAUCAUAGAGUACAUUUAAUUGUAUUUUUGCCAUGGCAUUUUUAAGGCAGUAUCAUCUUCUUCAUUUUUAAAUUGAAAAUGGUAUUGCUUUUUUACACGGGGUUCAACACGGGACAGAAUAUGGUUAAUCUGAGAUGAACUCAAUGUUUUCUCCAAAUAUACUGUUUCUGGUUUUGUUAAGGUUUCAUCAUAUGAUUGUUCUUGUUCAUCUUCCUCUUCUUCUGGUAUCUCUGGUACUACAUUGGGUGUAUUAUUUUUCAUUGAUAUAUUAUUUUUAUAUACGACUUCGUUAUUGGGUACUUCGUUUGAAGGUACUCCGUUAUUAGGUACUUCGUUUAAAGGUGUAUCUACAUCAUCUUCAUAUACAACCUCUUCUUCCAUCAUAUCUUUAUUUGACAUCCUAUUCUAUGUGUACAUUUUGUAUAUAGAAUAGUAUACACUCUUAGUAAUGUUUCGUAGAUCAGUUCCACCUGUUCAAAGUCCAUCCAAUGGAAAAUGGGGUCCUGCCUUAUGGAAAAUCCUUCACAGUGCAUGUGAACAAAUUUGAUCACAACAACUUAAAAACUUCCACAGGAAGAAUCACGAAUUUGGAUCGGACUACUUCAAAGUCUACGAUAUUCUCUUCCCUGUCCACAAUGUAAAAAACAUUAUACCGCUUAUUGGAAUGCUCAUCUGAUCCGAUCAGUAACAAAAGAAAACAUUCGUACAUGGUUGUUUCAACUUCACAAUGAAGUCAAUCAACGACUAGGAAAAGAAUCAUUUCCUAUUGAAAAAUAUACAGAAUACGAACCAAUCUUUCACUUUAAAGAAUAUUUUACAUUAGUACAACAACAUAUGACAUUAGCCAUACGACAAGGUACAUGCUCCCAUAUCGAUCUUCAACGAACCAUCCGAUUCCUUAUUGAAAUGAAGUGUUUUUAUGAUUUUUUUUGAAUGUGUUAUACACAUAGAUGGUUAUUAUCGGAUCACACGAUUUCUGUGCAUGUGUUGCUAAAGAUGAAUGCAUGUGCAUCUGUUGGCUAUGGGCCCAAACCCAAGAUAUUUCCUUGAAAGAUCAAUUUGCAUUAGGUGUUCGUCUAUUUGAUCUCCGUUAUCGUAUGGAUAAUAAUACAUACUAUUUGAGUCAUACGUUCAGCACAAAUUAUAGAGUUGAACAUGCCAUUACUGAACUCAUCAAAUGUGCAGUAGAAGCCAAUGAAUACAUUUACAUUCGGUUGAAACGCGACAGUUCUUCUCCUGCACUUCCCUCCUUUGGAUCUUUUUUUACAUCUAUUCUUCUCCAUGACAUUCCUGUUACAACAUUUAUGAUAGAAUAUGAUGGAUCCACCUUAUGGCAAUAUAUUACUGGAAAACCAGAUCGUCAAUAUAUUGUUCCGUAUUCCGAUAAUGAUACAUUACGUGAUCAUCAUGUUCCAUCACAAUGGGUAUUUCCUCAAUUAUUUGAUACAGUAGAAACAUGGGAAUGUAGUAGCAUUGACAGUGCUGCUCAACGUAUUCAAUUAAAGCCGUUCCAUAACAAUGGACUACCAAAGGCCAUUUUUAUUGAUUUUAGUGGCGUCUAUCCUCCAUAAAUGAUAUUUGAUUAUUUAUGGGAAGAGAUUGAAAAUGACAUCAUGAUGUGUAUUCAUAAUAAUGUCAUUCGGUGUAUCAUGGUAAAUCAUACUAAUGCAAAUACGAUUAAAUUGCUACGUGGUUCUUAAGGCAUAGGGUACAUGUUGUGCUAAAAGCACAACACUAGCUAUACCUUAUGGCAUAUGUACACAAGCAACAGGUACAUUCUUUGUAGCAUCUUUACCUAAUAAUCGAUUUGCAAUACCAAACAAAUCCGAUAAACGAUUCUCACACACUAAACUAAGUAGAUAAUACCAUGCUCCACCACCUACUAAAAAGAUACUCGAUACAAUAAAUCCAAUAACCAUUGUAAAGGCCGUUGCAGUGAAUCAUUCACAAUUUGAAGUUAAUUGAAACAUAAUAACACAUAUUAAUACUAAUACGAUUGCAAGAAGUGACAUAAAUGCCUGUGUUUUACGUGCAGACACCUUACCUGAUGUAGAAUCGUCCAUUGGACCAUCUACAUUCGGAUAAAUGUACAACAAUUGAAAUGCAUUGAAUCCCAUGUAUCCAAAGAAAAACAGAACCAUUGUAAGCAAUUCCGAAACAACACGCACUUCUUUUGUUGCAGGAGCAUUUGCCAUUGUUCGAAAUGGACUUGAUAAACGACACAUAUCAGUAGAUAAUACGCUAAAUGGAUUAUUUGGUACUAAUGCUGUAACUGUAUUGAUCACCCAUUCAACAAAUGGUGCUGCAAAUAAGAAUCCAAGAAGAAAAAAUAACAUAGCAUAAUUUGAAGUAAAUAACCCAAUAAUAAGCAUUGAUCCACCAAUGGUUAGUGGUAAUGU